GGGUGCGAUAAUACCAGCACUAAUGCACUGGAUCCCAUCAGAACACCGCUGUAAAGUGUGCCUGGGCGAGAGUUGUACUAGGAUGGGUGACCUCCUGGGAUAUCCUCGUGUUGCACUCC
rfam:Gossypium raimondii chromosome 6, whole genome shotgun sequence.